rnacentral:lncRNA from 1 species
GCGAGUUCUGUGCGGUGGACUUAUGCUCCCGCGAGGGGGCGUGUCCUUUCUCGCGUCCGCAGUGUCCCUGAGGGUCCGCGUCUACACGCGGCUGUGAGGAAGGAAGGCGCGUGCCGCGUGGGACGGGCUCCACCUGCCUGCGGACAGAUGGAGGGUCACUUUGUUCCGAGAAGACCCAGACACCCGAGGGAGGAUGUGAAACGGAACGACCCGUUUCGAGUAAUAACAGGAUGGAGAUGGAGUUUCAUGACA